UGGGGAAUCUUCCGCAAUGGACGAAAGUCUGACGGAGCAACGCCGCGUGAGUGAAGAAGGUUUUCGGAUCGUAAAACUCUGUCUUUUGGGGCGAACGUGAGUAUGGUGAACAAUCAUAGUCAGUGACGGUACCAAAGGAGGAAGCCACGGCUAACUACGUGCCAGCAGCCGCGGUAAUACGUAGGUGGCAAGCGUUGUCCGGAAUUAUUGGGCGUAAAGAGCGCGUAGGCGGGAUAGUCAGUCUGUUGUAAAAGUGCGGGGCUCAACCCCGUGAUGGCAAUGGAAACAGCUAUUCUUGAGUGCAGGAGAGGAAAGUGGAAUUCCCAGUGUAGCGGUGAAAUGCGUAGAUAUUGGGAGGAACACCAGUGGCGAAGGCGACUUUCUGGACUGUGUCUGACGCUGAGGCGCGAAAGCCAGGGGAGCGAACGGGAUUAGAUACCCCGGUAGUCCUGGCCGUAAACGAUGGGUACUAGGUGUGGGAGGUAUCGACCCCUUCCGUGCCGGAGUUAACGCAAUAAGUACCCCCGCCUGGGGAGUACGGUCGCAAGACUGAAACUCAAAGGAAUUGAC
rnacentral:rRNA from 1 species